rnacentral:rRNA from 1 species
CAGCAGCAGCCGCGGUAAUACGAAGGGUGCAAGCGUUAAUCGGAAUUACUGGGCGUAAAGCGCACGCAGGCGGUUUGUUAAGUCAGAUGUGAAAUCCCCGAGCUUAACUUGGGAACUGCAUUUGAAACUGGCAAGCUAGAGUCUUGUAGAGGGGGGUAGAAUUCCAGGCGUAGCGGUGAAAUGCGUAGAGAUCUGGAGGAAUACCGGUGGCGAAGGCGGCCCCCUGGACAAAGACUGACGCUCAGGUGCGAAAGCGUGGGGAGCAAACAGGAUUAGAUACCCCAGUAGUCCCUGUCUCUUAUAC